UUAAUUGAAACCAAAAAGAGGUAAAUUAUUGUUAAUAAUUUAAAUGAUUCAUAAUCCAAUUAAA
rnacentral:tRNA from 1 species